ensembl:lincRNA
CUUGCUUAGAAGCACAAACUAGGCUGGAAGAAAACUAGCUAAUAGAGUUGUGGUCAGACAUGGAUUACACUUUUCCAAGCAUUGGAAUAUGGCAAUAUUAAUCAUGUUUCUACAAAUCGUCUUUUAUUUCUUCUUCUUUUUUUUGAGACGGGGUCUCACUGGAGUGCAGUGGUGUGAUCUUGGCUCACUGCAACCUCCGCCUCCUGGUUCAAGUGAUCCUCCCGCUUUAGCCUCUUGAGUAGCUGGGAUUACAGGUACAUGCCACCACGCCUGGCUAAUUUUUGUAUUUUCUGUAGACAUGAUGUCUCACUAUGUUGCCCAGGCUGGUCUCGAACUCCUGGACUCAAGCGAUCCGCCCGCCUCAGCCUCUCAAAGUGCCGGGAUUACAGGCAUGAGCCACCACGCCCAGCCCACCUUUUGUUUCUUCUCAUUCUGCAUAUGUGGAAUUUGCUGCAUCUGACAGACAACUGGGGAUUCUUUGAGCUGAAAGAGCUUCGUGACGCUGCGGUAUCCAGCUCCCUGGCUGGACAGACGAGGAGGCCAAGGAGCAAAAAGAAGAGGUGACCUGUGACUAUAUGAUCACCAGUGAAGCUGACUGACAAGGGAUGAAGAGUGAAAAUUACAAUUUGAGAACCUCUUUGGUCAGCUAUUGGGAAAGAAUGAACUCUCCCCUGUGCAAACCACCUCAUGAUUUUUCAGGAAGCCAGGGCGAGGAACUUGGAUUCCAAAGCCUAGAGAAAGAUGUGAGCGGCAAAACUUUCUUUUGGUGGGUGAGGAGACUGGCGUGGGGAGAAGCGGUUUCUGCGGGAGGCGUCUCCACUGCAGGGUAGGGGGGCGGUGUUGGGAGGACUUCCACUUGCUGGCGAUAUUGACUAGAAAACAAGACUCAUUUUGUCUAUCUUUUCCUGGAUAAAGGACUGAUCGGCUCCCCCCACUGCAGCUGUUUUGUUCUUCAAAUAUAUUAUCACUUUUUAAACGGAUGGUAAAGGAAAAAAAUGCAUUCAUUUUUUCAGCCCAAGGAGACUGCAGGAAAAAGCAGUUCUGCUGCUGAGGUACAACGUAGCAUAAUGUUUUUCAAAACACCACCAGUUCUGCCUUCUCCUUUUAAUGGUAUUCAUUUUCCUUCUUAGAAAAGGGGUUAAAAUUAGUAGGCACAUUUCAUAUUAGCGUAUUUCAUGCAAUAAAGCAUAAAUUAUUUAAAAUAACACGACCUUUUAUCUUGCACCUUUUGAAG